GUGCUCGCUUCAACAGCACAUAUACUAAAAUUGGAACCAUACAAAGAGAUUAGCAUAGCCCCUGCGCAAGAAUGACAUACAAAUUUGUGAAGCGUUCCAUAUUUAA